CCUACGGGAGGCAGCAGUGAGGAAUAUUGGUCAAUGGCCGGAAGGCUGAACCAGCCAUGCCGCGUGAAGGUCAGUGCCAUAUGGGCGUUAAACUUCUUUUGUGCGGGAGCAAUAAUGGUCACGUGUGGCCAGACGAGAGUACCGUACGAAUAAGCAUCGGCUAACUCCGUGCCAGCAGCCGCGGUAAUACGGGGGAUGCAAGCGUUAUCCGGAUUUAUUGGGUUUAAAGGGUGCGUAGGCUGUGAGGUAAGUCAGCGGUGAAAUGCCCCCGCUCAACGGGGUGAAGUGCCAUUGAUACUGCCUGGCUGGAAUGCGGAUGCCGUGGGAGGAAUGUGUGGUGUAGCGGUGAAAUGCAUAGAUAUCACACAGAACACCGAUUGCGAAGGCAUCUCACGAAUCCGCGAUUGACGCUGAUGCACGAAAGCGUGGGUAUCAAACAGGAUUAGAUACCCUGGUAGUC
rnacentral:rRNA from 1 species